GUACUCCAGCUCUGAAUAGAAGCAUUACUUUGUGUGAUAAUCCGUUUUCACUUCCUGCUACUCCUUAGAAAGCCAUUGCUUUUCUCAUUAUCCACAGGCCACUUCUUCUGCAGAGCCCUGUGCUCCGUGACUCCACCAGCCGAGAAGGAAGGGGAAUGCUUGACACUUUGCAAGAAUGAGUUAAUCUCAGUGAAGAUGGCAGAAGCUGGCUCCGAGUUGGAAGGCGUGUCUUUGGUGACAGGUGGUUCCUAAAGAAUUAUCCAGGAAGCUGUGGCCUUUCCAGGAAGAGGGAUUGGACAGGCUCCUAUCAGAUUGGCAGAGGACGCUGUAAGGCCUUGACGGGUUAUGAGCCAGGAGAAAAGGAUGAACUGAAUUUCUACCAGGGAGAAAGCAUUGAGAUCAUCGGCUUUGUCAUACCUGGGCUUCAGUGGUUCAUUGGAAAGUCGACAAGUUCAGGACAAGUGGGCUUUGUCCCCACCAGGAACAUAGAUCCUGAUUCUUAUUCCCCAAUAAAUGUGGGAGUCCAAAUAACUAUAAACAAGGAAGACCACUCACUGAGCUCCUG
rnacentral:lncRNA from 1 species